rnacentral:rRNA from 1 species
GACGAACGCUGGCGGCGUGCUUAACACAUGCAAGUCGAACGGGCCCGCCCCUGUUUUUGGGGGUGGGUUGAGUGGCGAACGGGUGAGUAUCACGUGAGUAACCUGCCCCCUGCUCCUGGGUAACUGCUUGAAAGGGCGGCUAAUACGGGGUGUGCCGGCUGGUCCGCAUGGGCCUGGUCGGGAUAGUUUCAUCUUCGGGUGUUUCGGUGGGGGAUGGGCUCGCGGCCUAUCAGCUUGUUGGUGGGGUGAUGGCCCACCAAGGCGGUGACGGGUAGCCGGCCUGAGAGGGUGGGCGGCCACACUGGGACUGAGACACGGCCCAGACGCCUGCGGGAGGCGGCAGUGGGGGGUAUUGCACAAUGGGCGGAAGCCUGAUGCAGCGAAGUCGCGUGAGGGAUGGAGGCCUUCGGGUUGUGAACCUCUUUCUCCGGUGGUGAAGGCCCUGUCCGUUGCGGCGGGGUUGACGGUAGCCGGGUAUGAAGCGCCGGCUAACUACGUG